rnacentral:rRNA from 1 species
AGGCGGCGUGCUAAUACAUGCAGUCGAACGCACAGCGAAAGGUGCUUGCACCUUUCAAGUGAGUGGCGAACGGGUGAGUAACACGUGGACAACCUGCCUCAAGGCUGGGGAUAACAUUUGGAAACAGAUGCUAAUACCGAAUAAAACUUAGUGUCGCAUGACACAAAGUUAAAAGGCGCUUCGGCGUCACCUAGAGAUGGAUCCGCGGUGCAUUAGUUAGUUGGUGGGGUAAAGGCCUACCAAGACAAUGAUGCAUAGCCGAGUUGAGAGACUGAUCGGCCACAUUGGGACUGAGACACGGCCCAAACUCCUACGGGAGGCUGCAGUAGGGAAUCUUCCACAAUGGGCGAAAGCCUGAUGGAGCAACGCCGCGUGUGUGAUGAAGGCUUUCGGGUCGUAAAGCACUGUUGUAUGGGAAGAACAGCUAGAAUAGGAAAUGAUUUUAGUUUGACGGUACCAUACCAGAAAGGGACGGCUAAAUACGUGCCAGCAGCCGCGGUAAUACGUAUGUCCCGAGCGUUAUCCGGAUUUAUUGGGCGUAAAGCGAGCGCAGACGGUUUAUUAAGUCUGAUGUGAAAGCCCGGAGCUCAACUCCGGAAUGGCAUUGGAAACUGGUUAACUUGAGUGCAGUAGAGGUAAGUGGAACUCCAUGUGUAGCGGUGGAAUGCGUAGAUAUAUGGAAGAACACCAGUGGCGAAGGCGGCUUACUGGACUGCAACUGACGUUGAGGCUCGAAAGUGUGGGUAGCAAACAGGAUUAGAUACCCUGGUAGUCCACACCGUAAAACGAUGAACACUAGGUGUUAGGAGGUUUCCGCCUCUUAGUGCCGAAGCUAACGCAUUAAGUGUUCCGCCUGGGGAGUACGACCGCAAGGUUUGAAACUCAAAGGAAUUGACGGGGAACCCGCACAAGCGGUGGAGCAUGUGGUUUAAUUCGAAGCAACGCGAAAAACCUUACCAGGUCUUGACAUCCU